GCAUUUUUGUACGUGCCCAAUCACAGCUACCAGUGUCUUGUCUUUGACUACCUGUGAAAUCUGAUUUGCUGAGAUUAAUUUUGUAGCUGAAGGCAAACGAAUUAAUCAACUCGAGUGAACUGAGAAAAGACGCUCACCAGUUCUUUUUACGAAUACUGAAUUCUUCCUUUGAUGACACUACAGCCAGUCGUGCCAGCCUGCAAACUGCAAGCUACAGUCAGCACUGGCAUGCCCAUGGAGCCAAACUGGAUCACAAGAAAUAAAAUUGCCUAUAGAAGUGUCCAAACUGAAAGUGAACAUUAACUCUCCACGCGUACUUGAAGGAAAUUCCCCGAGAAUUUCCCCGAGGUGCACUGAAACGCCAGCGGUGGAAAACCAGUGGCAGGAUUCUACAGUGCUCCCAUUUCAGAUUUGUGCUAUGUGGAAAAAUAAUUUUGGAGCCUGUUUACUACUGGGAUUGCCUGGGUCCAGACCUUUGAAUCCGGCCACUGAAGAUGGAAAUGGAGUGCAACGAGUUGACAAUUCUGUCUGAUAUCAGGCUGCUACUAGGAUGCUUUAGUGAGCUCCUAAAUUGUUCAGCUGAGAAAAAGUGUUAACGUAGAGCCCUGAGUGGAUAUGUAGUUGUUAUUAUUAUUAUUAUUAUUAAUAAUAAUAAUAA